AAGUCGUAACAAGGUAACCGUAGGUGAACCUGCGGUUGGAUCAUUAAAAAAUUUAUUAGAAGGUCUCUUUUUAAGAGUAUCCUUUCUAAACAUCUUGUGAAUUGUUGAUGUCUCUGGUGUGUGUAAAGUUUCGAAUGUAUAUAAAGUUAAUUGACGACAUUAGAUUUGAAAAAACCUAGUAGAAAUUAACUUGACAACAUUUUUUGCACACACAUAAAAUUAUUAAACUAUAUGUUGUAAACUAUUUAAGUCUUUAAGAAAUCUUUUAAAAUGAAAUAAUUUUAAAACAACUUUUGACAACGGAUCUCUAGGCUCUC
rnacentral:misc_RNA from 1 species